rnacentral:rRNA from 1 species
UACGGAGGGUGCGAGCGUUGUCCGGAAUCACUGGGCGUAAAGGGCGCGUAGGCGGCGCGGGGAGUCAACGGUGAAAGCUCGGCGCUCAACGCCGAGUCGGCCGUCGAUACUCCCGUGCUCGAGCACUGUAGAGGCAGGCGGAAUUCCGGGUGUAGCGGUGGAAUGCGUAGAGAUCCGGAAGAACACCGGUGGCGAAGGCGGCCUGCUGGGCAGUAGCUGACGCUGAGGCGCGACAGCGUGGGGAGCAAACAGG